rnacentral:lncRNA from 12 species
CCAGGAAGAGGGCUCUAACCAGAACCUGAACCGGUCACACCUUUUCUUGGACUUCCCAGCCUCCACAACUGUGAGAAAUAAAUUUCUAUUGUUUUAAGCUCCCCCAUUUAAGGUAUUUUGUUAUGGCAGCCCAAGCAUAGUAAGACGAUAAUCUUAAGUACUGUAUUUAAAACUCCAAUAAAAAAAAUAUAAAUAAUAAAUAAAUAAAUAAAUAAAUAAAUAAAUAAAUAAAUAAAUUUGUAAAACCAAAAAAAAAUAAAACCACAGAGGUGAUGGUUAGACAAAGUUAGAUUGACAAUAAAAAUGGCUACAUAAUAAAAGGAGAGAGAAGUGAGAGUUGAAGAAUUUUUUUUUUAAUUCCAAUAUUUCAUUGCAGCCUGUAAAUGGAUGAGAUCUGUCGCUGGUAAAUCAAAACAGCACUGAACCCAUAAUAUUUGGAUAAAGAGUUAAGCACUUGCAGAAUAAAAAAUAUAAAUAAUUGAAGAUGAUUUUCUCUGAAGACUACUCAGUGGAAAGAAGGGGAAAAUCUACCUUUGAUUUUUCCACUAUUGAACAUAGGUAGAGCUCAAUGGGAUUUGAAGUAUAGGAUAUGUUACAAGUAAAGAACAAAAUUCUACGUCCAAAGAAACAUUAUUCUGUGAGUAAAGUUUAAGUAGUGUCCCCGGGGUUUUUUUGCUCCUU